UGAAUACGAGAUGCUACGGCGUCGAAGCAGUCUAUGUCAUACUUCCAAGAAAAGCUCGCACUGUCAUAAACAAAUAAUGCCUGUACCAUAACCGACACAGGUGGGUAGGUAGAGUAUACUAAGGGGCGCGAGAUAACUCUCUCUAAGGAACUCGGCAAAAUGACUCCGUAACUUCGGGAGAAGGAGUGCCUUAUUUAUAAGGUUGCAAUAACAAGAUCCAAGCAACUGUUUAUCAAAAACACAGGUCUCCGCUAAGUCGUAAGACGAUGUAUGGGGGCUGACGCCUGCCCAGUGCCAGAAGGUUAAAGAAGUUGGUUAGCAUUCGCGAAGCUGAUAACUGAAGCCCUGGUGAACGGCGGCCGUAACAAUAACGGUCCUAAGGUAGCGAAAUUCCUUGUCGGGUAAGUUCCGACCCGCACGAAAGGCGUAAUGAUUUGGAUACUGUCUCGGAGAGGGGCUCGGUGAAAUAGACUUGUCUGUGAAGAUGCGGACUACCUGCACCAGGACAGAAAGACCCUAUGAAGCUUUACUGUAACUUGAGAUUGAAAUUGGACUUUACUUGCGCAGUAUAGGUGGGAGGCGUUGAUAAUAUUCUUGCGGGAUUAUUUGAGCCAUCAGUGAGAUACCACUCUUGUAAUGUUAGAUUUCUAACUUUGUAUCAUUAUCUGGUCAAAGGACAGUUUCAGGCGGGCAGUUUGACUGGGGCGGUCGCCUCCUAAACGGUAACGGAGGCGCACAAAGGUUUCCUCUGAACGGGUAGAAAUCGUAUCUAGAGUGUAAAGGCAUAAGGAAGCUUGACUGUGAGACCUACAAGUCGAGCAGGGACGAAAGUCGGUCUUAGUGAUCUGACGGUGCUGAGUGGAAAGGCCGUCACUCAACGGAUAAAAGUUACUCUAAGGAUAACAGGCUGAUCUCCCCCAAGAGUUCACAUCGACGGGGAGGUUUGGCACCUCGAUGUCGGCUCAUCGCAUCCUGGGGCGGUAGUACGUCCCAAGGGUUGGGCUGUUCGCCCAUGAAAGCGGUACGCGAGCUGGGUUCAGAACGUCGUGAGACAGUUCGGUCCAUAUCCGGUGUAGGCGUUAGAAUAUUGAGAGGAGCCUUCUUUAGUACGAGAGGACCGAGAAGGACAUACCUCUGGUGUACCAGUUAUCGUGCCAACGGUAAACGCUGGGUAGCUAUGUAUGGAGUGGAUAACCGCUGAAAGCAUCUAAGUGGGAAGCCCACCUCAAGAUAAGUAUUC
rnacentral:rRNA from 1 species